ensembl:rRNA 5S_rRNA 5S ribosomal RNA
UCUUGGGCUGGGUCCUCUAUAGAAGCAAAAACAGUAAAGUGUCUGAUUUCAGAAGCUAAGCAGGGUUGGGCCUGUUUAGUACUUGGAUGGGAGGUCACGUGGGAAUACCGGGUGGUGUAGGCU